CUUUUCUAAACAGUGUAUAACGUAUUCUGAUAAAAUAUUUCUUUUUUUUUUUUUGUAAAAACAAAAAGAACUCCCACGUGUUGACAAAUUUCUUCGUGCAGAUUCAUUGGCCUUAGUAAUAAUAAUAACAAUUCAAGAUUUUCGCGUGCGGCUGCUAUGCAGCAUACACCAGAACCAGAAAUAUGCAGUAAACUCGUCCUCUGAAAUAGACCAGAAAGCAUCAGGCUCCUUGAACUCAAGAAUCAUAUCACAUCCUCAGCAUCACACCCCCACAAUAGAAAUCUCUUGGCCUGAUAAAUUCAAAAUCUCAAAAUAUUUUCAUGAGAAUCACCAGAAAAGACAGUAAUUAUGCACUUAAAAUGAAACCAGAAGAGAAUAUUCAAACCAUGAAGGUCUUAAUAGUGUAUAAUUUCACAUCUCUGGUGGAGUUCUGAGAUGUUUUGUAUCUUUUGAGUGAAAUAAUGCAGAGCAAACUGCUUCUCUUAAAGGAAAAGACACUUUGUACUUACCUCAUCUUCCACAAAGGCACUGUCACAGUUUGCAUAUGGAAGGUUUACUAUGCAGGAGAUAUGAUGCUGACAAGCUUUGUUCAUAUGCAUACUGAACGAAGCAAAAGAUGAAUGUAAGUGACAGCGUCAUCUCUCCUGCGUAGCAAAUCUUUCAAUGCCUUCACCACUAUCCUUCAUUCUUCACCAUCACUGUGUCUGUGUGUCUUCCAGGUAGACCAACCAGUGUCCAAUACUAUAUAUAUACACCACAACUUUUACAAUUUUUAAUUUACAGACUCUCACUACAUUGUGCUAAUUGAGUG
rnacentral:lncRNA from 1 species